rnacentral:rRNA from 1 species
CCUACGGGUGGCAGCAGUGGGGAAUAUUGCACAAUGGGGGAAACCCUGAUGCAGCGACGCCGCGUGAGUGAAGAAGUAUUUCGGUACGUAAAGCUCUAUCAGCAGGGAAGAAAAUGACGGUACCUGACUAAGAAGCCCCGGCUAACUACGUGCCAGCAGCCGCGGUAAUACGUAGGGGGCAAGCGUUAUCCGUAUUUACUGGGUGUAAAGGGAGCGUAGACGGCAGCGCAAGUCUGGAGUGAAAUCCCAUGGCUUAACCAUGGAACUGCUUUGGAAACUGUGCAGCUAGAGUGCAGGAGAGGUAAGCGGAAUUCCUAGUGUAGCGGUGAAAUGCGUAGAUAUUAGGAGGAACACCAGUGGCGAAGGCGGCUUACUGGACUGUAACUGAUGUUGAGGCUCGAAAGCGUGGGGAGCAAACAGGAUUAGAUACCCCUGUAGUC